CCUACGGGGGGCAGCAGUAGGGAAUCUUCGACAAUGGAGGAAAGUCUGAUGGAGCAACGCCGCGUGAGUGAAGAAGGGUUUCGGCUCGUAAAGCUCUGUCGGUAGUGAAGAAAGAAAGAGGUAGUAACUGGCCUUUAUUUGACGGUAAUUACUUAGAAAGUGACGGCUAAAUACGUGCCAGCAGCCGCGGUAAUACGUAGGUGGUAAGCGUUGUCCGGAUUUAUUGGGCGUAAAGCGAGUGCAGGCGGUUCAAUAAGUCUGAUGUGAACGGCUUGGGCUCAACCGGAGAAUUGCAUCAGAAACUGUAGAACUGGAGUGCAGAAGAGGAGAGUGGAACUCCAUGUGUAGCGGUGGAAUGCGUAGAUAUAUGGAAGAACACCAGUGGCGAAGGCGGCUCUCUGGUCUGCAACUGACGCUGAGGCUCGAAAGCAUGGGUAGCGAACAGGAUUAGAUACCCCGGUAGUC
rnacentral:rRNA from 1 species